GGUCACUGCGAACGGCGACACAGGGAGGAAGCCGGUGCGAAUCCGGCGCGGUCCCGCCACUGUCACCCUGCGAAGGGGAGCCAGGAACUC
rnacentral:ncRNA from 1 species